rnacentral:rRNA from 1 species
AAUGGGGGAAACCCUGACGCAGCAACGCCGCGUGAAGGAAGAAGGUCUUCGGAUCGUAAACUUUUGUCUUUAGGGAAGAUAGUGACGGUACCUAAGGAGGAAGCCACGGCUAACUACGUGCCAGCAGCCGCGGUAAUACGUAGGUGGCAAGCGUUGUCCGGAUUUACUGGGUGUAAAGGGUGCGUAGACGGGUAAGUAAGUCAGAUGUGAAAUACCGAGGCUCAACCUCGGGGCUGCAUUUGAAACUGCAUAUCUUGAGUGUCGGAGAGGAAAGCGGAAUUCCUAGUGUAGCGGUGAAAUGCGUAGAUAUUAGGAGGAACACCAGUGGCGAAGGCGGCUUUCUGGACGAUAACUGACGUUGAGGCACGAAAGCGUGGGGAGCAAA